rnacentral:rRNA from 1 species
AUUGAACGCUGGCGGCAGGCUUAACACAUGCAAGUCGAGCGGUAAUAGAGAGAAGCUUGCUUCUCUGCUGACGAGCGGCGGACGGGUGAGUAAUGCCUAGGAAUCUGCCUAGUAGUGGGGGAUAACAUGCCGAAAGGUAAGCUAAUACCGCAUACGUCCUACGGGAGAAAGGAGGGGACCUUCGGGCCUUUCGCUAUUAGAUGAGCCUAGGUCGGAUUAGUUAGUUGGUGAGGUAAUGGCUCACCAAGACCGCGAUCCGUAACUGGUCUGAGAGGAUGAUCAGUCACACUGGAACUGAGACACGGUCCAGACUCGUACGGGAGGCAGCAGUGGGGAAUAUUGGACAAUGGGGGGAACCCUGAUCCAGCCAUGCCGCGUGUGUGAAGAAGGUCUUAGGAUUGUAAAGCACUUUAAGUUGGGAGGAAGAGCAGUUAACUAAUAUUUGACUGUUUUGACGUUACCGACAGAAUAAGCACCGGCUAACUUCGUGCCAGCAGCCGCCGUAA